UACGUAGGCAGCAAGCGUUGUUCGGAAUUACUGGGCGUAAAGAGUGUGUAGGCGGUGUUCUAAGUCUGUUGUGAAAUCUCCCGGCUUAACUGGGAGGGUGCGGCGGAGACUGGAAUGCUAGAGUGUGGGAGAGGUAAGCGGAAUUCCUGGUGUAGCGGUGAAAUGCGUAGAUAUCAGGAGGAACACCUGUGGUGUAGACAGCUUACUGGACCACGACUGACGCUGAGACACGAAAGCGUGGGUAGCAAACAGG
rnacentral:rRNA from 1 species